rnacentral:rRNA from 1 species
UACAGAGGGGGCAAGCGUUGUUCGGAAUUACUGGGCGUAAAGCGUGCGCAGGCGGUUUUGUAAGCCAGAUGUGAAAUCCCCGGGCUUAACCUGGGAAUGGCAUUUGGGACUGCAAGGCUGGAGUGUGGCAGAGGAGACUGGAAUUCCCGGUGUAGCAGUGAAAUGCGUAGAUAUCGGGAGGAAUACCGAUGGCGAAGGCAGGUCUCUGGGCUGACACUGACGCUCAUGCACGAAAGCGUGGGGAGCAAACAGG